rnacentral:rRNA from 1 species
AGAGUUUGAUCCUGGCUCAGGGUAAACGCUGGCGGCGUGCCUAAAACAUGCAAGUCGAACGCGUACCUUCGGGUACGAGUGGCAGACGGCUGAGUAACGCGUGGGUGACGUACCGAUAGGUGGGGAAUAACUGCCCGAAAGGGUGGCUAAUUCCGCAUACGCCUGUUUCUGCAUUGGAACAGGGAAAGCCGCAAGGCGCCGAUUGAGCGGCCCGCGUCCGAUUAGCCAGUUGGUGGGGUAACGGCCUACCAAAGCGACGAUCGGUAGCUGGUCUCAGAGGAUGAUCAGCCAGACUGGGACUGAGACACGGCCCAGACUCCUACGGGAGGCAGCAGUUAGGAAUUUUGGGCAAUGGGCGCAAGCCUGACCCAGCAACGCCGCGUGGGUGACGAAGGCCUUCGGGUUGUAAAACCCUUUUCUGAGGGAAGAUGAUGACGGUACCCCAGGAAGAAGCACCGGCUAACUACGUGCCAGCAGCCGCGGUAAUACGUAGGGUGCAAGCGUUGCCCGGAUUUAUUGGGCGUAAAGGGCGCGUAGGCGGCUCGGCACGUCCGUUGUGAAAUCGCCCGGCUCAACUGGGCGGGGUCAGCGGAUACGGUCGAGCUGGAGCAAGCUAGGGGGCAAUGGAAUUCCCGGUGUAGUGGUGGAAUGCGUAGAUAUCGCGAGGAACAYCAGUGGCGAAGGCGGUUGCCUGGAGCUUUGCUGACGCUGAGGCGCGAAAGCGUGGGGAGCGAUCCGGAUUAGAUACCCGGGUAGUCC